GGGAGGUAGUGACAAUAAAUAACAAUACGGGUUCUUUCGGAUCUCGUAAUUGGAAUAAGUACAAUUUAAAUCUCUUAACGAGGAACAAUUGGAGGGCAAGUCUGGUGCCAGCAGCCGCGGUAAUUCCAGCUCCAAUAGCGUAUAUUAAGGUUGUUGCAGUUAAAAAGCUCGUAGUUGAAUUUCGGGGUCAGCAAGUUGGUCGUGCCACUGGUAUGCACUGGCUUUGCUGAUUCCUCCUUCUUGUAGAACCGUAAUGCCAUUAAGUUGGUGUUGCGGGAAAACAGGACUGUUACUUUGAAAAAUUAGAGUGUUUAAAGCAAGCAUUAGCUUGAAUACAUUAGCAUGGAAUAAUGAAAUAGGACGUUUGAUCCUAUUUCGUUGGUUUCUAGGAUCGACGUAAUGAUUAAUAGGGAUAGUUGGG
rnacentral:rRNA from 1 species